GGGGGCUUAGCUUAGUUGGUUAAAGCACGGUGCUCAUAACACUGGGAUCGGGGGUUCGAGUCCCUCAGCCCCUACCA
rnacentral:tRNA from 1 species